UACGUAGGGGCUAGCGUUGUCCGGAUUUAUUGGGCGUAAAGAGCGUGUAGGCGGCCAGGUAGGUCUGGUGUGAAAACUCGAGGCUUAACCUCGAGAUGUCAUCGGAAACCAUCUGGCUAGAGUCCGGAAGAGGAGACUGGAAUUCCUGGUGUAGCGGUGAAAUGCGCAGAUAUCAGGAGGAACACCAGUGGCGAAGGCGGUCUUCUGGGAUGAUCCUGACGCUCAGACACGAAAGCUAGGGGAGCGAACGGG
rnacentral:rRNA from 1 species